CUCAGCACUGACCGAGCCCAUCCCCUCCCCAUUUCCUGUCGGCCUUGACUUUGAGCUGAAGCUUCCAAGGAAAGAGGUUCACUGUUAUGCCCCAGAGCACAGAUCCCAACAUAUACUAUCUCUCAACCCUUCACCAAGUGCCAGAAGAUAAUAAAAAGUGUUAAAUCAUUUGACUGGCCAUGUCCAGGGUUAAAUAAGGUCAGAUCUUACCCAAACUUGAAAACCUGGCUCUAAAACCAUCUUCAUGAAGGUUAAUUACAACUCCAUGAAGUAUCUACCUCCUUGAACCCCACAUUUUGACUUCAAACUUCUCAU